rnacentral:rRNA from 1 species
GAGUUUGAUCCUGGCUCAGGACGAACGCUGGCGGCGCGCCUAACACAUGCAAGUCGAACGAGCGAGAGAGAGCUUGCUUUCUCGAGCGAGUGGCGAACGGGUGAGUAACGCGUGAGGAACCUGCCUCAAAGAGGGGGACAACAGUUGGAAACGACUGCUAAUACCGCAUAAGCCCACGACCCGGCAUCGGGAAGAGGGAAAAGGAGCAAUCCGCUUUGAGAUGGCCUCGCGUCCGAUUAGCUAGUUGGUGAGGUAACGGCCCACCAAGCCGACGAUGGGUAGCCGAGCUGAGAGGCUGAUCGGCCACACUGGAACUGAGACACGGUCCAGACUCCUACGGGAGGCAGCAGUGGGGAAUAUUGGGCAAUGGGCGCAAGCCUGACCCAGCAACGCCGCGUGAGGGAAGAAGGUUUUCGGAUUGUAAACCUCUGUCGCAGGGGACGAAGGAAGUGACGGUACCCUGUAAGAAAGCCCCGGCUAACUACGUGCCAGCCGCCGCGGUAAUAC